GGCUUCAUACUAAUUUUAGAAACUUUUCAGACCAGACAAGCCAUCAAUGGCCUGGUUUGCCUUUUAGAAGAAGCAGACAUCAAUCAGCCACUGAAGACAAGAAGAGGACGGUCCUGGGGCACUCAACUUCUUCUAAGGUAGAAAUUUGCUUCUAAGGAAAAAUACUGGAAGGAAUAAAAUGCAGCCAAGAGGGGUCGUCGCUUUAACACACGCCUGCUCUUUCCUUCCCAUCAGCAGGUGCCCAACAAGAUUGUUGACGAUGUCUGUGUCUACACCAGCAUUUCUCGAUCACCAGUCCCGGCCAUGGAAGCAACAUAUUCCUGCCUUAGGUUUAUUUCUCUCCCUUCUCUGCUUCUGGAUCGUCUCUCCCAUCUCCUCACCCAUCUCCUCCUCCACCACUUACCACCUGCUAUCAGAAUCAGGGUGGAAAAUGUGGGCACAGGACCAUGAGUUUUUUAGUAUAGUUUUAACAAAAACACAAAAUUCCACAUAAUGCCAUAACAUUAGGUGGCUUCUCUUUAAAAAAAAAAAAAAAAAAACAGAAACACAACCCAAAACUAUUGUGUAGAACAGAACACAUAUCAUUUGGUGAUUGGAUUUUUCUGUUUUUUUUUCUACCAGUCAUGCAAUGUACACUUAAUACAACUCUGAGACUCUUUGAGUACAAACUAGCAAGAGUUGAAACAUUUUACAGACUAACAAUUCCAUUUAAAUCCUUGUUUUUAUCUGAGUGGGUAAAGAGAUAGUAUAGCUGAAGAGUACCAAGUAAAGGGGUGGGGUAGGUCAUCGCCAGUGGGGUAUCAUAUCAUUGUUCAGUCGACAUGGCCUUAGCCACACUUCCUGAUUCACUGGGAAGUGUUCCUUGUGCAUCAUUUUUGCUCUUGGCCAGCAU